AAACCGCUUAGGGGUAAAACCCGAUGAACCUGAAUAUCUGAAAUGAGAAAUUCAAUAUUAUAUGAUUGAUUUUUUGUCAAAUUAAAAUUAAUUAUUGGUAUGCACUUUUCUCAUAGUAAGACAUUGCGAUCCAUUAGUAUUUGCAUAUUUAUUAAAAAAUAUGCAUAAAAUUUAUCAAACGGCCUGUAUGUAUUGUUUAUUCUAUCUGUGACAAUUUUUAAUUGUCAUAUGAAUAAAUGCAUUGCAGUGACCUGAUAAAUAGCUGAUGGAACUUUAUAAUAAAAAUUAUGCAACCAUAUUCGUAUGUAUCACGGUUUAUGAAAAUUCGUUUUUUAAAUGCAGUGAUCGCAUAUAUUUGAUUAGCAAUGCGAUAGAUUUGGGAUACCUUCGGGACCCGUCUUGAAACACGGACCAAGAAGUCUAACAUGUGUGCAAGUCAUUGGGUAUAUGUAUGUUGAAACCUAAAGGCACAAUUAAAAUAACUAUAAUGGGAUUACAAGUAAUUACUUAAUAUAAUUGCUUUUCCAUCCCGGGGCGUUCUAUACGAACAUGAUUUAAGCAAUUAGGUCCUCUGUUCAAGAGCGUACCUUGAGCAUACAUGCUGU
rnacentral:rRNA from 1 species